AAUAUCUCUAGUUGCAACCCCCUGCCAUGGGCAGGGACACUUAAAUGACCACUAAGAUGUUAAUGGGCUUCAUUGGUCAUGGGUUUGGGUCAGUGUAGUAAUCCCGGCAGGAAUUCCCCAGGCUGGGGGAAUGUGUGCUCCAAACACCACAGGGAUCACAUAAAACAGCUUGUGGUUAUUAAUCAAACUACAUUUUGUGCUAAUACCACAGCUUCUUCCUUUAAGACAAGGUUGGUGACCAACUCUUUAGCUCCAUUUCCAGAUUAAAUACAUUAAAAUACUGUCUCUACCAGGUGGGGGGAGCCCAUGCCAACACAGGGCUGAUGGUUUAUGGCUGAUAAUGAAUUUAGCAAGCUAUGAGUUCGGCUUUGAUGCUGAUUAUUUUAAGUAUCAUAGGUUCUGAUUCACAAGGCAGUAAUCACAGGUCAUUAUUACUGACAUUAUUAAGUUAAAAAUUAGCUUUUAGGCUUAGAGCACCACUUAGUAAUGUGCUCUGAAAUGGAACACCUGCGUGAUGCCUUAACAGACAAUGGAGGGAAAUUAGCCUCCUUCAUUAAAUAAACUACAACAGUACCUUGUUUGUUCUAUUUGCACCUUUAGAUGGCAAUUUUCUAUGGCUGAAGUGGGACACGGGUUGGAAACAGUGAGCACAGGCUUUGCAAAGCAGUGGUGGCUUGCCUUUGAGAUGCUGUGGUCAGUGCCCCAUGUGCUCUUCCAGGAGAACAUAAGGCAAACCAAAUUGGGAAAGGACAGAAGGGAUGGAGGAGCCCUGCUUGUGCGUGGUACACUGACUGGCACUCUGACUCCUUCUCCAAGCCCUUCCUUCAGACUACUGCCUGUCCUCAGAGCCAGGCUGAGCUUCACCAACAGAUGCAUCUUCUUCCCCGCCUGCUCCAUUGGUGCGAGUGGCCUCAUCUCUGCAAAGUAAAUACAAGAAGAGAAGCUAAGUGGGAAUCUGAGUUGUACUCAUGCUGAGAGCUGGCCAAAGAAGGAGAAAACAUCAGUCUCAAGAGGGUUUUCAAGAUUUGGACAUCUGGCUUCAUCUUUUACUAUGCUCAAACAGGAUCUGUCAACUUGCAUCAAGGAAAUCAAGAAGAGCCUAGCCUUUAAAGUCAGUGCUGCCAUAGAAUCAUAUCAUCAACUAGGCUGGAAGAGAUCUCAGGGCUAGAAAGUUCACGAAGCACACGGGAGAAAGAAGCUGAGUCUGAAUCCAUGACUUGAACACAAACCUACACCCCAUAGCCAAAUAUUGUGGGGCUCAUUUCUCUCUUGUUAUGCUAAGAAAUUCUGGCCAGAAUACAAGAAAGUGAAAUGCAAAACAAAGUAAUAAUAAUCUGCCAAAAUUAAAGCUAAGUUAUGGAACUUCCACGUUCCUCAGCUGUGUGUGUUUUGUGUUUGAGAAAAUCCAUGUGAAGAUUUCACCUAUUUAGCUUUGGAUGGUUUCAUUAUUAGCAGGCCACAAAUGAAUUAGGUGGAUGAUGCAAAAGCGACUGCCAAUAAAAUACUUACACUGU
rnacentral:lncRNA from 14 species